rnacentral:rRNA from 1 species
UACGAAGGGGGCUAGCGUUGUCCGGAAUCACUGGGCGUAAAGCGUGCGCAGGCGGUUUUGUAAGCCACUUGUGAAAUCUCCGGGCUUAACUCGGAGCGGCCAAGUGAUACUGUCGUGCUAGAGUGCGGAAGGGGCUACUGGAAUUCUCGGUGUAGCGGUGAAAUGCGUAGAUAUCGAGAGGAACACCUGCGGCGAAGGCGGGUAGCUGGGCCGACACUGACGCUGAGGCGCGAAAGCUAGGGGAGCGAACGGG